rnacentral:rRNA from 1 species
GAGUUUGAUCAUGGCUCAGAUUGAACGCUGGCGGCAUGCCUUACACAUGCAAGUCGAACGGCAGCAUGAUCUAGCUUGCUAGAUUGAUGGCGAGUGGCGAACGGGUGAGUAAUACAUCGGAACGUGCCCUGUAGUGGGGGAUAACUAGUCGAAAGAUUAGCUAAUACCGCAUACGACCUGAGGGUGAAAGUGGGGGACCGCAAGGCCUCAUGCUAUAGGAGCGGCCGAUGUCUGAUUAGCUAGUUGGUGGGGUAAAGGCCCACCAAGGCGACGAUCAGUAGCUGGUCUGAGAGGACGAUCAGCCACACUGGGACUGAGACACGGCCCAGACUCCUACGGGAGGCAGCAGUGGGGAAUUUUUGGACAAGUGGGCGAAAGCCUGAUCCAGCAAUGCCGCGUGUGUGAAGAAGGCC